rnacentral:rRNA from 1 species
UACGGAGGGUCCGAGCGUUAUCCGGAAUCAUUGGGUUUAAAGGGUGCGCAGGCGGUAAAGUAAGUCAGUGGUGAAAUCCCUUCGCUCAACGAAGGAACUGCCAUUGAUACUGCUAUACUUGAAUAUAGUCGAAGUAGGCGGAAUGUGACAUGUAGCGGUGAAAUGCUUAGAUAUGUCACAGAACACCGAUAGCGAAGGCAGCUUACUAGACUAACAUUGACGCUCAUGCACGAAAGCGUGGGGAGCGAACAGG